rnacentral:misc_RNA from 1 species
UGGCUCUCGCAUCGAUGAAGAACGCAGCGAAAUGCGAUAAGUAAUGUGAAUUGCAGAAUUCAGUGAAUCAUCGAAUCUUUGAACGCACCUUGCGCUCCUUGGUAUUCCGAGGAGCAUGCCUGUUUGAGUGUCUUGAAGUCAUCAACCCCUUCCGUUUCGUGCGGACUGGGUUGGAGCUGGGGGCUCUGCUGCCGAGAGGCGGCUCCCCUCAAAUGCAUCGGUUGGGCCUGUGGGUCAAACUCGACUGGGCGUUGUACCAUCCUCGCUCGACAGAGACGUUUCCCCUGUUGUGCCCUUCCCCGACCUGCCUUCUCAGAGUGGCGGUCACAAGCGCAAGCUUUGAAAUCUGACCUCAAAUCAGGUAGGACUACCCGCUGA